rnacentral:misc_RNA from 1 species
AAGACUAUAGACCUGCGGAGUACCUGCGGAAGGAUCAUUAUUGAAUAAUCUUGCCUUGAUAGGUUGUAGCUGGCCUCUUGAGGCAUGUGCACACCCGUCUUGACACUAUUCAUCCACCUGUGCAUUUAUUGUAGUUCUUUGUUUCUAAUGGGUCAAGGAAAGUAAGGCUUUUUAUUCAGUUGAGAUACACUGGUUUUGAAGAUUGCCUCUUUGGCUAUCUUCUUUCUAGCCUAAUGGAAU